CCGGACGCAGGACGGGCCGCCCAGGGAAAAGUGGAGGCAGACAAAGCGGCCAGGGAGGCCCUCCCCUCAGCCCUCAGCCCCCAGCCCUCAGCCCCCAGCCCCCGGGGGCAUCUCGCCGCCCGGGCAAGGCGCUGCCCUCCAGGCCCUCUCCCUCUCCUCCGCGCCUAAAAACUUUUCCCGGCCUUCCCUCCCGCUCUCUCUCUCUCCUCCUCCUCCUUCUCCUCCUCAGGAACCAGAUGUCUAGGAAUUUCCCCAGCUCGGAGCCCGGGCUCCAGCCCACGAAUGUGACGAGGCUGAGCUGAUAGUCGGGGAGGGGGGCGGGAGAAACUUUCCCAAACCUUAAAGGAACAACGGCCCCUCGCUAACCACCGAGCAGCCCGGCCCUCUUCUUCUUCCGAAGCCUCCCUCCCCGAGCGGAGUCCCCGCCUCCUCUGUCCCCCUCCUGUCUCUGACUCUCGCGCUCACACCCCUGUUACUAAUCCACUGUCUUUUUUUUUUUUUACCCUCCCUAGGGUAAUAUUUGCCGAGGAUGGGGUUGGACGGACACAUCCUGUUAUUCGCUGCCUUCAGACAGCCUCGUGGAGUCCUACCUCCCGCCACUUUUAGACCCAGUUGCUUCCCCGGCCUGUAACUGAUUUUCCUGCCCGCCUCCUCCCUCGAGACUGUAAACUCCCGGAGGGCAGGAUUGUAUUUAACAACUACUGUGUGCUUGCCACACGCUCAGCACAGUCCCGGGCACGGAGAAGGUGCUCAGAUGUUAUUGAAGUAACUGGAGUUUUCGUCGAUUGAAAUUGGCUCAUUCAGAAUUUGGCAAAGUGUCAUUCACCCUGCUGCCAAACCAUUCCGAAAUGUUGAUUUCAAUACAUAACAUGAUGAGCGGUGUCGUUACUGGAUCAGAACAGUGGUCCGACCAGCUCCGUUUUCCAUCUCCAAGAGUGGAGACAAGAUGCUUGGAGAAACCACAUAAGGUAACUGAAGCACAGAGAAGUGAGAUGACUUGCCC